AUGCAAGGGUUGCCAUGGAGACCCUUAGGCCUUCCACCCUGGAUGGACCUGGUUAGUGUCACUCUCCAUUCUGAGUGUCACGUUUCCUUCCUGGACGCAGCAGGAAUGCUGGACCAGGAGCUUGCUGACACCAUAUCUGCCUAGGGCUCAGGGUGGAGCUCAGAAUUCUGGGGUCCCAGUGGAAGACAGUAGGAUAGCCUCUGUAACGAAAGACAGACCAAACCACGCCCAGGCUCCUCUCCAGGGAAAAGCGUAUGGAGUUGCUGUCUCAGGCAGGACUUUGUAUCUGUGCUUUUCAGAUGGGGAAACUGAGGCCUGAAGACAUAAAGGGCAAUGUCUGAGCAUUUGAGCGGCUGACCGCAGAGCUCACAGGCUUUCUCCCAUUCUCACCCUGCGUGCUGAGGGCUCUACCAUCGUUUCUGUUUUAUAAUGACAGGCUCAGAGGAGUGGAGGCCCCUCCCUGGGAACACACAGCAAAUACAUGCAGCACUGGGGUUGACACCCAGGCCCCUUUCACGCCUCAAGGACAACCUUCCAUUCUGGGUCAUCUCUGAGGAGAGCAAGGCCCAAAGAUGAGGGAAACCUGUGGCCAUCCAACCCUGUGAUAUUCAGGGCCACUUGCAGCUUCUGGGUCACAGAAGUGGGGGAGAAACAAGUAGGGUGGGUUCUGCGUUGUUCUUCCAAUCCCUGGGCAUAAAAACCCACUCUACAGUGUCAGGGUGCAGGCCAAGACAAGCAUGGGAGGCUGGGUCAACUUGUGUGAUCCUGUUGACCUUGAGCAAGCCACUUAUUUGUAAAGUGGGAUGGUGAGCCUUGCUAGUCUCUGGGGAUGCUGAGGAGAGAAGGCUGUGUAACCAGUCCAGACCUGUCUGACUCUACCAGUGGAGGUGGGACAAGUAACCUCUAUCUAUCUAUCUAUCUAUCUAUCUAUCUAUCUAUCUAUCUAUCUAUCUAUCUAUCUAUCUAUCUAUCUAUCAUUUAUCUAUGUAUUUAUUUAUUUAUUUUCCUGUUCUCUUCUCUAUGGCUCCCCUCCAUCCCCCUGCCCCAGGUCAGCCUUAGUGCCUCCCUCUGUGGCUGGUCUGUCCAGUUGGACCACGUUUCUCCCAGAUCCCUACUUCAGCUUCCUCUCUCUUUGGAGACCUCUGACUUCUUCACCUACCUGCUCUCAUCUCCUGAGGGAACAUUUCAGAGCAAACAACCAGCCUGUCCGCUUUUGUGAUAAAACCCAAAGCGAUUUCUCUGUGGGGUGUGAAGAACGCUGUCGCGGAGGAAGAGCGAACGUGGAGCAUGCGCAGCAGUGACUUCCGUAAAUCUGAGGCCAGGGGACUGCCAUUGAAGACCGUAACAGAGCUCCUGGGGUACCCUUAGGAACAACAGACUGAAAAAGUGGAAAGAAAUGAAGGAGAAGGCCAACUGCUGUGCCAAGGAUGGUGUCACUAGACAUGGUGAGGUGUCUGUGGCCUUGCAAAUUGAGCUCGUGAUGUUGUGGAAGGGCGUCCAGAGAGACAAAGAGACUCCCCAGACCCAAGAAAGAGCAUUUCCGAGGGAUGUGAUGUUGAACAUGAGCAGGAUAGAGUUUAAAGUCCAUCCGUCACUCACUGCCGCACUAACCACGCCUCUGAACACCGAAGUGCCUCGGUUUUCUCCUACCGAAAUGGGCAUGACCGACACGUCUGCGUAGCCUGUCACAGUGACUAAAUAUUAAAGUAUCUCUCACUCCACUGGCAAAGCUGCUGGCUCAGUUUCACCCUCUGCCUCAACAUGCUUCCUCCUGGCUGCCUCGGAACUUACUUGGGAUUCUCAGACUACCCAACGAUCUGUCAAGCUGAGCUGCGACACUCUAGGACAGUGGCAAAAGUCAGUUCCAAGAGGCCAGACUCGAACUCGUCCUAGUUGUUAACUAUCUGGAACACCAGGAUAUGGGACAUCCACCUGGAGGGUUUUCAUGUGGCUGAAGCUCUCUGUGUGCUAACACGGUCUCUUCCACUUCCCAGCAUUGCAGAUUUCCAGGAGCUUUUGUGGAAUGAGGUAGAGUAUAAACCUUGUGAGUAGAAGGGGUCUAUUUCCAGUUCAGGGCUUGGCAGGGAGGGCACCACCAAAGCAUGGGCCAAGGAACAGCGGUGUCUCCAGAGCAAUGUGCCCAAAGCUAGCCUGACCUUGGACCUUGGUGGGCCCUGCCUGUCUUUUAAUAGGAGCUUCAAGGAGUCUGGUUUGCAUAAGCCAGUUCUAGCUGCCUUGGUCCUGGGCCUUUGAAUUAUGACACUUUCUAGACUCUUCUGGAGUAUCUGGGGUUGUAGUUUAAACACACACUUUUGGGGAGCUUCAGGCAGUUUUAUACACACUGGAUUGAGAAUCGUUAAAGGUCUUGCAGCUCUUCCUCUGUAUCUGAGGAACAGGUACACAGGAAGCAAAGAGGACUGGGCCACCUAUUCAGCAAGUGUAAUGCAUGACGACUUGCUGGGCCAUCGCAUCUCCCAGACCUGUGGUUCUGCUCCGUCCUGUGCUGAGUAGACCAGGCCAGAGCGUGGAGGUGUUAGGCUUGAGUCCAGGGGUUGUAGGUGUGUGCAGAUUUCAGAUCCUCCCCCUCUACAGUCCCAACUCCCCAGAUUCCCUUCUCUGGAACUGUUGUGUCCCGAGAUCUCUCCUUACCUCCUGACAGGACUCGAGAAAUUCGUCUAACGUUACAAUGCCAUCUUUAUUUUUAUCCAUUUUCUGAAAGGUACAAUAGAGAGGUCUUUAAAGAACCUAGCAUUUCACAUUUCAGAAUUCUCUCUGUGUUAACCCCAGAGUUAGGAUGGUCUUUUGCGAGUCAGUUGAUUCCUGGUUAUAGUAUUAUGGUCCUUAUGGGCUUCCAUACAUCAAAAAAUUCGUCUCAACACUUACAUCAUUAUUAAUGAUUGCUGCAUUAUUGCUAUGCUGACAUUCAAGAUGUAGUGGUCUAUUUCUGUUAUUACAUCAGAAUAACUGAGGUUUGGUACUCUAUAAAGAAAAGAGGUUUAUAUAUCUUGUUGUUCUAGAGCAGUGGUUCUCAACCUUCCUAACGCUGCAACCCUUUAAUAGUUUCUCACGUUGCAGUGACCCUCAAUCAUAAGGUUAUUUUUGUUGCUACUUUACAACUUUAAUAUUCUACUGUUAUAAAUCAUAAUGUAAAUAUUUUGGAGAUAGAGGUCUGCCAGUGUGGUCACGGCACACAGGUUGAGAACCACUGUUGUUAUGGUCUAAGAGCACAACACUGGCUCCUCUCUAGUGAGGGCCUCACGGGGGAUGACAUCUUCAUAGUGGGCACAUGUCGAAGAGGUCACACAAUGGAACAGGAAGCCAGAGAAUGAGGAAAGGCCAGAUUUGCUCAUUCAACUCAGACUCACGACAACUACAGGGCUCUGAGGUAAUGCUCCACAGGGCCCAGUCACCUCCACUCAGGCCUCACCCGUUGAGGAUUCCAUGACCUUAACCAUUGCCACACUGAAGAGCAGACUUCGUAUGCCCAAACUAUUUCCAAACUAACACAUGAGUUCUGCACAUUUCCUGCUGGGAACACCAGGUUCUGGCCCAUCUCUGUGCAGAUUUUCUGUGCAAACUUUCAAGAUAUCAGAAAGAGAUUUCUGUUUUCCUAGGUGCAAAGUGGGAGGCUUGGGUUGGAGUGAGCUCUGACAUGCUUUGGUUCUCCCUGUUGCUAGACUUUUUCCUUUUUAAAAAAAUAUUAAGUGCAGCUAUGAGGGUGCCACUUCCCCACUCAGUCAGCAGCAGCAGCCACCCAUCCUUUACUAGAUCAAGUCUGAACCCUCUCACUUAAGGAUCUUGCUGUCUAGCUUUACCCAAGUUUCCAAUUGUAUUCCCCUCUGCAGCCCAGACAAACUUUCUCAAUAAGUAUACAGAUGCAGUCUUCUCUUUCCAUCCAGCCCUUGAAAAGAUUUUUACAAGAUUCACCAUCAUGGUUAAUGAUGACAAACCCCUGUUCUCUUCUGUGACACUGGCCUGCUUCUCAGGAGCAUGUCCUGGCCGGUCAGGAUAAGCCCGUGCACAGGCGCAUACGUACCUGGAAGAAGACGUCCACGUGCUGCCUGGGAGUGUCCUCUUUGAGCACAGGAUAGGUGUAUUUCCCCAUCAUGUCAUAGAUGGCUUUCACUAUGUCCAUCAUCUCCUGGAAGAGGACACAGAGGGGCGUACUGUUGGGACUGUGAGGUCAUAUCUUGAAUUUACGAUUUGCUUAGGGCUCCUCUUGCUAAAAAGAGGGAUUACAAGGGCCUUUGAAGGGGAUGAAUGGAAGUUAAGGGACAAGAUGAAACUCUCUCCCCAAGAGCAAGUGGGGACAUCUACUCUGUCUUCAGACAUCUUGGGCAGGAACAUCCUCUUCUUGCUUUGUCCUUGGGGAGGGAUGACAUUGGAUUCCCCAUUUGCAGACUGAGACAAUGAAGCAUUCUUCUGAGUUAGAGGUAAACAAAUGUUUUAGACUAGCCUUACACACACCUUCAUAGACCCUAUUGUCAUUUUAGGUUAGGAAAAAAGUCACCAGUGUAAGGAGUACCCAUAGGACACUGGGGUUUUCUCUGAAGUUGCAAUUAAUAAUUUUAGACUUACAGAAAACUUACAUGGCUGUCUUGGGACUGGUGGUUACUUGAGGAAGGGGUUGUGUGUCAACUCUCUGAUUUGUUAGUCAACAGCUUGGGAGCAACACAGAUCACUAUGCUAUUUGUCUAGUGAAAAUUCUAUAUUCCUUUAAAAAAAAAGUUAAUGUUUUUGAUCAGAGAUUUAAAAUGUAUUCUCGGGGGUUGGGGAUUUAGCUCAGUGGUAGAGCGCUUGCCUAGCAAGGGCAAGGCCCUGGGUUCGGUCCCCAGCUCCGAAAAAAAAAAUGUAUUGUCAGAUUCUGUUUGCUGUUCCAAAUUAGGAGAAAGGAGCAAACAGCAGCUAAUAUCCGCAGGGCACUUGAGUCUUUCUUUAUGUAGGUUAUUAAUAACCGUAGACUUACUGGAAUACUUCUCUAAGCCAGAGGUCUCUUCAUUUAAGUACUUACAUGGUUCUUUUGAAUAUCUAUUAUAUUUUGUUGGUGAUGACACAACACUACCAUGUUUUAUUUUGUUGAUUAAAUCCUUCUAGCUUUGUCAUAUUAAAACUCCUUUAGGUUGAUGCUUGCAGCCAUUUAAUCUGCCUCAACCAGGAUUCAAGUUUAGUUUCUAUUUCUCCUUUCUCCGUCCCAAGACAAACAGCUCUCCAAGAAGACUGGAGAAAGAUGCUUAGAAAGAAGGGUCUGGGUGCCACCAAGGGUCCUUUCUCCAGGACACUCCCAACAUAUAGAACAGGAAAUGGGUUUGUACCCAGCUGUUCAUCUCAAAAGAUGCCCUGUGCCAGCCUUUCACACCCGUGUGGCCAUUGUGUGCUUUUCUGCUUGAGACCAUUUUUAUCCAAGAACAGACAGAAAAGUAACUUUGAGUGCUUGGGAGUCUCAUUGCCGGGAAGUUUGAUAAGAAUGUCCCAGAUAAUAACCAGGAAGAGGCCUUAGAAAAUGACUUCGCACACUUAUCCACCCCCCCCCCAUUAAUUCUGCCAUCUAACGAUGUCUGAGAGACAUAAAUGGGGAUAAUUUGGUCCACUUUGCCCAUCAUAAAAAGGCAGUAGUUAGUAAGAUUAUUCAGUGAUGUGAUGGGAACAUGUGCUGAACCAAGGCUGAAGACCAAGAGGCAGAAAUCCCGUCGGAGGUUCCUCUCUUUCAAUGUUUUGUAAAGUGGUAUUUGAAUAUUUUAUCUUAGAAUAUCAUACAUGGAAGCAUGGAUCUAAGAACUUAGUUGAUUAUAAAAUUGAUGGAAUACUAUAAAAAGUGCUUUAUAAAAUGAUAUUUUGGUGUUUUUUUUAUUUUUUUAUUUUUUUUAUUUUUUUGUCUGAGACAAGGUUUCUGUGUGUAGCUCUGGCUAUCCUGGAAUUUGCUCUGUAGCCCAGGCUGACCUCAAACUUACAGAUCCACCUGCCUUUGCCUCCCGAGUGCUGGGAUUAAAGGUGUGCGCCACCACCCUGCUAUAACAUGAUUUUUAAACACAUGAAAUCAUAUACACUUGUUAGUCUUCUUUGAUUUUAAGUGAUCAUCUUCUAUUUAACGGGUUUGGAAAUCUGGGCUGGAAAGAUGGCUCAGUGGUUAAGCAUGUAGGGCUCUAUCCCUAGCACCAGGUUGGGUGGCUCACAACUGCCCGUAACUCCAGCUCUAUGGGGUCUGGCGCCCUCUACUGGACUUUGAGGGUACUGGGUAACCCCCACCCCAUACAUUCAAACACAAUUAAAGAUAAAAAUUUAGAAAUUUAAAGUCUCGGUGAUCUGAUAGGAAUUCCCUGUUAAUAUACUAGCAUCCAUUUCUUGUGAGCGUUUAGUGUACACAGCGACCACCCACGUCUUACUGCUUUUUCACGAUUUACUUGCAUAUCUACUCUGUUCAUCGUGUUUAAUUUUAAUUUGAUUGUGAGAACUCUUUAUGUACUUUGGAGAUGCAUAAAUUAAUUUAUGAGGCAUCUGAAAAUGUGCACCACAUGUGCUGGCUACGAUUCUGAGGAAACCCGAAGGCGAGUGAAGCAGGUGUUAGCCAGUGUCCAGGAGUUUCUGUGGGCUGCAGAUGUUUUAACAGCUGUGUCGCCUGAUUUGGCUACGGCAUUUCUUUGAGGUGAAGAAUUUAAAAAUAUCUACAGUUACGUCACCAAUACUUUUCUUUGUGUUUUAAUUUUAUGCUUUCCUCUAAGUUUAGAUGCGACACCUACUUCUCUUUUUGUGGGGGGAGGGAGGCAAAGGCUUCAUCUCAUCUUAUAGCUUACUGUGCAUCAUGAAAGGAAGCCAGGGCAGGAACUCAAGGCAGGAGGAGCCCGGAGGCAGGAACUGAACCAGAGAACAUGGAGCCGUGCUGCUUCUUGGCUCGAGUGCCAUAUUCCUAGGUGUUUUUUUUUUUUUUUUUUUGUCGUAGCUAGAAGUCACCUGUGUGUCUACGAUUGACUUACAACUGUGGCAUUCAGAAGAUUCAUUCAUCUACUGCUAAAAUAGUAGAGCAAAAAAACCAGUUUCCUUGGAGUCAUCUGCUUCACUAUUCACAUCUCCUCAUGCUCCCGUUAUGAAUGGAGUCACGGAUUGGUUCUCCGCUUCCUCCUCAGUUACCCCGACCUACCUGUGACCCUUCUUCUCCCAUUUUAUUUCUGCAUGCGCGUUAGUCACUGGACAUGACCUUUAGUUCUAAUUGUUUAAGUAAUCUCUCAUAUCCUUUCCCCACUAAGUAUAAAAUCAUGUCAUUGCUAAACACGGAGCCUCUCCCUUGUAAUCCCAGUACUAAGGUAGCUGAGGCAGGAGGAUCACCAUGCAUUCAAGGCCAGCCUGGGCUACACAGUGUGUUCCAGUCAGCUUGAGCUUGAGACCUCGGUGCAAACCAAUAAGUAGAGAGAAGAAACCCAUGUCAUUAACCAAGACUGCCCUAGCUUCCCCGAUGUGUGCUUCCGUCCCUCUUGUCUGAGACGCGUGGGCAGAUGGUGUGGGUCAAUAGAGGCACAAUGGUCUUCAUCUCUGCUGUAGCCGAGGGUCUCAGAGACGUCACCAUGAUGUGAAAAGCUGUGUAGAAGGCUACAACACAUUCCAUUAUCCUCAAGAUGAAUUUUGUUCCUACUUAAUUAGGAGUUUAAAAAAUGACCAAAGUAACUUACGGAAUAUGAUUUUAGAAUCACGUGGCUUAUGUACGGAUGGGAUGAAUUAUUUAAUAGAUAUUCUCCACUACUGAAUUCUGCAAGAAACCUGGUCCUUGUCAUGCACGCUCCUUUAACUGGAGUGCUGAGUCUAACUUCCUGGCAUUUUGGUUCUUUUUUUUUUUUCAGAGCUGGGGACCGAACCCAGGGCCUUGCGCUUCCUAGGCAAGCGCUCUACCACUGAGCUAAAUCCCCAACCCCCCCUGGCAUUUUGUUUAGAAUUUGUGACACAUAUUUUAAGUGAGAUCGGAUUCCUGCUCUCUUUCUCUUACAUACUUUGCCACAGUUUUAAUUUUUUCUUUCAUUCAACACACUCUGAGCACAUCUUGUCAUUUAGGUAUUCCCAAGUUACAAUGAGAUCUCCCUUUAAAAAAUAGGGCUUAUUGGAGUAUAAAUUUGACUCCAGCAAGCUCACAUAUUUUAAGUCUCCUGCUUGACAGACUUUGGUAAAUGUGCAGAACUGUGCCACCUCCACUCCAAGGAACUGGGUUAUUCUUGUCACAAGAAGCUUCUACAUUGUCCGCCAAUCUCCCCGGCAUCCAGCACCGCUGACGAAAUGUUAGUCACUCAAGACGUUUUCAUUGAUGCAAUAGAACUCGAUGUGAACUGAAUGAUACUGCAGGAAGGUGGAAGCCGUCUCUGUCUAACGUGCACGAUGGACGGCGCAGAGCCCGUGCCAUUACUGAUGUGGCCGUGAUUUAUCUCUCUUCCUGAGCACCCAUCAGAUGCAAUGUGCUUAUCGUCGUCCUCUUCAAAGACGUUUGGGCUGCUUCCCAGUCGGGGGCUAUUUGCAUCGGGGUAGUAUGUAAGCCCCCUGUAGGCAUUUAUGAGUUUACAUACUGUCAUUCCUUUUAGGUGACUAUGUAGGGUGGCAUUUCUGGGUUAUACAUCAGUUGGAUGCUAAUCUUAUUUAAGAUGCUAAAAUGUUUCCUAAGCGGCAAGGGUUACAUUGUUUCCCACGAGCAGUGUGUAAGAGUUUCUAACUCUUGGGCAUCCUUGCCUACACUUGGAAAUUGUUGGCCUUUUUAUUUUCAGCCCCUGUAGUAUAUGCAUAAUUAUUGUUUGCUAUAGUUUUAAAAAAAAUCUAUAUUUCCUUAAACAAUAUACGUAUGGAGCCAUUUUUUCUUGAGUCUAUUGUCCACUUACUAAUAUUUUCUGACAUAUCUAUUUAACUUUAAAAAUUCUAACUUUUAAAGAUUUUAUUGUAUUAUUGUUUUUAAAAACAUUAAUUACUUUUUUUUGUUUUUUGGACAUGUGUGUCACAGUACAUGAGUAGAAGGCAGAGGUCAGGGGUCAGGGGUCAGGGGUCAGUGUUUUCCUACUAACAUGUGGGUUCCAGGGAUUGAACUCAGCUCGUCAGGCUUGGUAACAUGUGCCUUUACCUACUGAGCCAUCUUGGUGGCCCCUCACUACCUAUUUUUCACAGACUUGCUUAUCUUCUUAUAAAUUACGAGCACUUCUAAUGUAUUUGGACCUCAGUCUUCUGUCAUAUAAUAACAAUUUACAAGCCAUUUCUCCAAUCCUGGCUCCCAUUUCCCUUUUCUUCAUGGCAUCUUCUGAGAACAGAAAAUUGUAACCUUGAUGAAGAGAAAUGUCAGACUUUCUUUUAUGAGCUCUUCUUACUUGCCC